GGGGCGAACUCGCAGGGAAGUGGCUGCAGAGCUCCCCCGGAGAAUAGGAGGGGGACUCGGGCGUCCGCGCGGCCCAGCUUGACCCCUCUUGUUCUCCCUCCCUCCCUUUCGACCUCGCUCUGUCCGCUGUGGAACAUCUCCGGGAUCCCCCAGGGCUAAGUCCAGGUUCGGAGUGGAGGCGCAAAGCGGGCCCUUGUCAGGUGCGGAAAGCCGGCUCCAGGCUCGUAUUGACCAUUUACGCGGAAGCAGGAGGGGCAUAUUUGGGGAAUAAGACUGAGAAGAGCCCUAAACUCAUGCUGCCUCUCUCGGAGUUACUGGUGCAGUCUCCUGGGGGCUGAGGCUCAUUCUGGGGAAGACAAAGUGCUCGGUGAAGCCAGGCAGCUCUGGUGCUAGUCCUCACUCCGCCCAGUGGGAUCCUGGGAAAAGACACUUUUAUAGGCUCCUCGAAUGGCUGUCCAACUUCUGCUUGCAUCUCCCUGGUAACUGGGAGCUCAUGCCCUUACAGGGCAGCCCUUUCCACGCUACUUGGGAGAGCCUUUUGUCACCCAGACCUGAUCCACCUCCCUCUUUCUAGUUCUGCGGGACGCCAUACCCCCGACGCCACCAGAGCCCUGGAGACAGAACCUUCUCUGCGCCAGGACAGAAAUCUCCUGUCUUCAUUGCUCCUGUAACAAGUGAAACUCGUAUAAUAAUGAUUUCUUCUAAAACCUCAGCCGAUCUAAUUGCCUAGCUCUUGUUUAAGAACCUUAAAGGAAGCCCCGUGGCUUGGGGAGUGGCUCAAAAAUGGAGGCUCCGAAGGCCUGGUGUUUUGGGGUGCAAUAUUCAAGUGACCAUGUGAACCAGUCCCCCCACUGCCAUGUAGAGAAGCCGAGUCAGUCACAGUACUUUCCAGUCAGAAGCGGCUGCCUGUGGUUUUCUCCUGAGGGUUCAGACAUGGGAGGGUCACGUUGGACGCCUGGACUUCCUUUUACUUUGUAAGUGCAGCUUUCUCAUUAUUUUCACGUGGUCUUUGUUGUGAUCGUUCAUAAUUUGGAGGAGCUCCUCGUGCGCUGUUACACUUCUGAAUUUCCCUUUCUGAACAUGGAUGCUGCCUCCUUUGCCCACUUUUCUGUUUUGGUUCAUAUAUUCUGGUUGUUAAUCUGUUGCUGGCUGGAGAUCAUGCACAUGUCUCUCCCACUGUCAACCUCUAUUAUCUUUGUUCUUCGUUGAACAGAAAUCUUUAUUCUAGAUACAUUCAAUCCUAGCUCUGUGAAACUAACGUAAAAUGAAUGUCAACAGUAAUUGAAAAAUUUUUUUAAAUUAAAAAAAUACAAAUUCAAGCUUCUAAAAAUCCUCCCUUUAUGAGUUUGAAAUUUGUCUAAAGAGUCCUUCCCCACCCCUAGGUCACAAAGACGUUCUCCUUUACUCUCUUCUGUUAUUUUUAUAGUUGUACAUUUCAAAUGUAGGGCCAGGAUCCAGUGAGAGUUCACUCUUAAAUGCAGCGUUAGAUGAGGCCCCAGUGGUACUUCCUCCUCAGAGCGAGCCGCACCACGGACUGCAGAUCCACAUCCGUCCCGUGCGUUAGUUUCCCGCCUGCACAGGCUGCCUCCGAGCUCACCUCUUUUUGGGGGUCUGUGCAUUAGCACUACUCUGUUUGUAUUGCCACGGCUUUGUGGUCCUAUCCAAUAAGGCAAAUGUCACCUCUAACUCUUAAUUUUUAACAGUGACUUAGCUAUUUGUUUAUGUUUUAGAGUAAGCUUAUUGAGUGCCUAAAAAAAAUCAUAAUGGCAUUUUGAUGAGGGCUACAUUGAAUUUAGAGAUUAAUUUGGGAAGAAUGGACAUCUUUAUAAUAUUAUGUAGUUCCAGCCAAGAACAUGAAUUAUCUUUCUAUUCAGAUCAUUGUCUCUGCCCUUUAUUAGAACUUAAUAUUUUUUCUCCAUGGAGGCCUUGCACGUUCACUUAAUUUCUAGAUGCUUUAUAUUUUUAUUGCUCUUGUAAGUGAUAUUUUCUCCCAAAUUAUUAUUUUUUUAAAUGUCAAACCAAGAGAAAAGUGGAAAGAACGAUGAAUACCCUUUAUCUUUUACUUGAAUUCAUCAGUCGUCAAUAUUUGCCACAUUUGCUUCAUCUCCCUCUCUCUUUCAGUCACACAUUCAUACUUCUUUCUGAACCAUUAGAAAGGAAGUUCCAGACAUAUAUGUAUGUUAUCUUUUAUGAAAAUGACAUUUUCUAGCUGGUUAUGCUUGGUGUAGAGAAAUGCUAUUGGCUUUUGUACGUUGAUCUUGACUCUGGUAAUCUUGUUACGAGACUGCUGGCAACCACAAUUAGAAUUACAUUUUAUAUCAUGAUCCUAUGUCUUUACCGUAUGUGAUUCACUUGAUAUUUCUAUUUUGUUCUAUUAAAUUUUUUUUAAUGUGA